rnacentral:rRNA from 1 species
AUGGCGGCGGUGCUUCGACACGCGGCGAGGAUGAUGCUCGGCAAUCGCGCUGCCCUCCAGCAGGGGCGACAAGCCACCUCUUCUUCUGCUGCGGCGGAGGGGCGACAUCGAUUCAUCGACACGUGCGAGGUUGCUGCCAAGUGUCAUCCGGACUAUCUACGUUGGGCUGCUAUGAGCAGAGAGGAGCAGCUGGAGGCAUUGCUCUGCGUCGACCCAUUGACGGUGCCGGAAAACAUCCGAAAGACAGUGGAAGAGAGGAACAAACUUUGUAUCCUAAUCCUGGACAAGUACCCGCACAUGAUCCGGCACGUCGGUCGUCUUCCUGACCAACCUUGCUUAGCAUCGCGCGCACUCUUUAUAGUGUCUACGCUGGCUUCGGUGAUCCUCCUUCAAAAUAAAUUGGGCCGGAAGGGAAGUACAGAAGAGACUGAUCCAUCAAUUAUACAUGGUGACAGUGCUGCAAAGAGUUGA